AAGUUCACCAUCAUCAUCAGUAGAAGUGUCCAGCAACGACGAUGGAACUUUGCACAAGCACAGAUUUCCACCCAGACCUUCGUGUUGUCUGUGCUGGGUUUAUUUUUUGAAUGAAGCAGCUUGGAAUAUGAGAAGAACAGAAAGAUAAGAAACAGGGCACCAUUCUUCAGUGGUGGAAGGAAUGCAUUAAAAAGCAGCAGCUAAGAUUGUGGAUGUCGGAGCCUAAAUGUGUAAUGAAGCUUCAAUAUUUGGAUUUCAACCCCAUUGUGAUAAUCUAUAAACAAAGUCUGAUGGGCAUUCCCUUUGAUGGGUACUUUGGAGGCACAGUGGGUGGACUACAAUGAGAUGCUAAUUUCAUUUGGAUUUCUGCCCUCAUGUCCACAGGACUACACUUUUGGCAUUGUUUGCCUUUGCUGCAAAGUUCAUUUCUGUUUCAGCAUCUGUUCACAGAAUGGAUUCUGCUUCUGUUUCUUUUAUGCUACAUCUACUGCAGUUUCACUGUUUUAUACAGCUGGUUUGUUUGCUGCUCCUGAUUGUUUUCUGCAACAGCUAUGUUCUUUCUUCUCAAGUUUGCUCUCCCAAACCCAUAUCUACAUGUAGCUGGGCCUAUGCCUCCAAUAUCUGAUAUAUCCUUGUAAGUGACAGUCUUCAUUUUGGUUCUCAGUUAAUCUGCUUUCUGCACAGAUGUGCUGUGUUAAUUAUCCAUUUCCUACUGGAAUGUAUUUAAAUCACAAAUGCCGAAUCAGGAAACUGUGGUAUGGGUUAAGAUUACAAACAAUAAGAUAAAAUAAAAUAAUUUCCUAGUAGAAAAUUUCCUAGUAGGUUAGGAGGGGAAGUUUACCUCCUAAUUUAUGUCCUGUCAUUUGGCAAUAAGACAGAGAUUGGCAACAGGUAAAGAGGGUAGUCCUGUAGUCCAGCGUUUUUAGAGGUCUUUCACAAGGAUGUAUCUGCACAUUAUGAAUCCUACUGAUAUUAGUAGGGACUAUAUAAUCAAGUUGUUGCACAGAUAUUUAAAAAUAUAAGAACAAAAUUAAUUUUACAGGCUAUCUUCCAGUGUCAUUGAUCCUUCUUCAUUUACUCUUUGCAGUACUGUUUUUUAAACUCGUUCAUUUUGUGAUUAGAAAUGUUCUACAACUUCCAGAUCAGUCACAGAAUUAAGUGUAUUUCUCUAGAAAAUUUCCUAUAAAUUACCCAAAGAAGACUUUUAAGUCUUUCCAGAAUUUUAUAUCCAGUGUUUUGUUGUUAGAGAAGCUGUUUGUUUCUAGAAGGUGUUGAAAGGCCUUUAUUUAUUAUUUAUUCCAAAAUAAAAAGGACAAAGUCUACAU
rnacentral:lncRNA from 7 species